UUCUUCACACAAUGCACAGUAAACCUGCAGAACUCAUUGCCAGGGGAUGUUGUGAAGGCCAAAACUAUAACGGGGUUAAAAAAAAGAAUUAGAUAAGUUCAUGGAGAAUAGGUCCAUCAAUGGCUAUUAGCCAAGACUGGUCAGGGAUGCAACUCCGUGCCCUGGGUGUUCCUAACUUUUGACUGCCAGAAGCUAGGACUAGUCAUCAGGGGAUGGAUCUCUUGAUAAGUGCCCUGUUCUGUUCAUUCCCCUGAGUCAUCUGGCACUGGCCACUGCCAGAAGACAGGACACUGGGCUAGAUGGACCACUCCUGUGACCCAGUAUGGACCCUCUUAUGUUCUCAUGUGAAUAUUUGAUGUUCUUGCACUAAAAAAAGAAAAA